GCACCUCCUGCAAGAAGAGUGAGUUUGGGGACUUCCCUGGGAAGCUGGGCUGGCUGAGGCUGGGGGAGAACCCAGAGCUGGCUCCUGUGUAAGCCUCUGGGGAAUGGGUCUUCCUUUGCCUCCAGAGGUCAUUCCACUUCCUCUCCAGACUGAGCUCAGAUGAGCCAGAGCAGCCUUUUCUAUAGGGAUACAAACCCCAAAGUUGUUUCUUAUUGUCCCAGAAUGCAGCUGAGCUCUUAUAAUAACGUGGGCUGGGGAGGAGCCAGGUCUGCUGUGGGGCUAAGUCUGUUCUGACCUCUCACUCUUCGCAUUUUUCCCCAGGCUGCUGCUCCUGCUGCCCUGUGGGCUGUGCCAAGUGUGCCCAGGGG
rnacentral:lncRNA from 1 species